rnacentral:rRNA from 1 species
GUCCACGCCCUAAACGAUGUCAACUAGGUGUUGGGAGGGUAAAACCUUUUAGUACCGUAGCUAACGCGAGAAGUUGACCGCCUGGGGAGUACGGCCGCAAGGUUAAAACUCAAAGGAAUUGACGGGGACCCGCACAAGCGGUGGAUGAUGUGGAUUAAUUCGAUGCAACGCGAAAAACCUUACCUACCCUUGACAUGUCAGGAACUUGCCAGAGAUGGCUUGGUGCCCGAAAGGGAACCUGAACACAGGUGCUGCAUGGCUGUCGU